AACAACAAAACUGUUUUAUUAAACGUUUACCGACCUAAUAUUAUGCAGUUAAAUUUCUAACUCCCCACAUCCACACCUCCAUUAUAGUUGUGCGUGUUUUGUUUUGCGACAGUCGGAAAGCGGUUAGUAGACGUUUCCUAUAUUUCUGUAUUGAAAUGUCGGACGGUCAGACGUCUCCGUUGUCUAUAGAAGACUAUGCCACGACUUUUACUGAAGCACUCACUUGUCAGAUCAACAAGGAAGAUGUUGGCUGUAUGAUCCAAACACAGAAAGAGAUGCUAUCUCGGUAUGAAAAAACUAAUGAAAUGCUUCUCAAUUUCAAUCUUCUGUCUUCAUCUCGCUACGAAGCAACGUGUCACAAGUUCAAGAAAGACACAUUACUCCUGUACGAGAUGAAAAAAGACCUUGAUACAGUCUUUAAAAGAAUCAGCUUGCAACGAAAUGAAUGCCACAGAGAACAAAGAUGAGGACAACAAUAUCGGCUCAAACCUGUCAAACUGAAUAUGAAACUGAAAUAACACAGGACAGGUUGGGGGCCCAUUCAGCUCCCUCCAAAUUAACUAAAGCAUCAAGCUGUGUAUAGUUUAAUAUAAAGCAACUGUGAUGUACCGAACGGUCAUAUUUAAUGUAUAGCUUCUGUCUUGUAGCGAUUAGUGUAAUGGUCAAUGUGUCUUAAAUUUCAGUAAUUAUUUGUCUCUCUUAACUGAGAUUUCUAGAAUAUUCAUUGGUCAUUAUGAAGGAUUCAAAAUUUUUUUUGUAAUGAGAUAAAAAACCAAGGCUGUGUAGAUUUUAGGACAUUUAUAAAUAGAAGGUCUUACAGCUGCUUCCAGGAUAUCCUGGAAACAGCUGUAAGACCUAUUUAUAAAUGUUCUAAAAUCUACACAGCCUUGGUUUUUUAUCUCAUUACAAAAAACAAUUUUUUAUAUACACAUGCUGAUAUGUGACCUAUGUUGGACCCCUUAAUCGCAUAAUCACCGAACCUGGAACUUAACUAUGGUCUAUCCAUAGCACUUAUUCAGCAUUACCUGACACCUUUGGGUCUCACUGUCACCAUUACCUCUCAUAACCUCCUAUAUAUAUAUAUAUAUAUAUAUAUAUAUAUAUAUAUAUAUGACAGGUUUACACACAUAUAUAUGUAGUUGUGUGUUUGUGUGUCUUUGUGUUGGUCCUCCACAUCACUUGACUGCUGGUGUGUAUUUUUUUACAUUCCCAUAACUUAGUAAUUCAGCAAAAGAGAUCAAUAAGUACCAGAUUUAAAAAUGAAUAUUGGAGCUGAUUUCAUCAACUAAGCUCUUUGUGACACUACUCCAGCAUGGCCACAUUCCAAUGACUGAAACAAGUAAAAGGUAAAAAUAUAUUUUUUGCCAAUACAUGUUCAACCCGUUUGUUACUAUACUUCUGCCAAAAUACACUGUCUGAUUCAAUUAAUUUUGAAAAUAAUGAAGAAUUUUGUAAAAUAUUUUGCUGUUAUUAAUCUGGUAUUUGGAACUUAAAUUAACAUGAAAUUUUGAAAGAAGUUUUUCAUUUAAAUUACUUAUAGAACCAGGAGGAGGUCUCCAGCGGGUUGAUAUUAAAACAGUUAAACUGAGGUUUAAAAGACUGAAAUAGUUUGGUUGUCUAAAAUCAACCCUCAUGUAUUAAUUUUCUCACUCUACCCCCACCCCAUUCCCAAUCCAGAUAUUCAAAUGAAGUUGCUUCAUUAAGCCUUGUCCUGAGGAAUUAAAAUAUCAUAUUUGCUCCUUGUUAGUUUUAUUGAUGCCUUCAUCAUUUAUGUAUAGAAAGUUUUUAAAAAAUGAUGAGGCAUUGAAACAGGGGGGGAAAAUGGAGUUUAUUUACAAGUGUAGAUACAACUGGGUGGUUAAGAAGCUCACUUUGCAAUCAUGUAGUUUCAGGUUCAGUUCUGAUGCACAGCACCUUGGAUAAGUGUUUACUUCAGCCCUGGAUUGACCAAUGCUUUGUGAAUAAAUUUGGUAGAGAGAAACUAUAUGGAAACCUGUUAUAUAUGUGUUUGUGUUUGCCUUUCAUCACUUGACAACCAGUGUUGGUUUGGCAAAAGAGACCAAUAGAAUAAAUACCAAACUGUAAAAAAAAAAAUAAAUAAAAGAAAAAUAUGUAGUGGAGAUUAUUUGUUCAAAUGAACCCUUCAAGACUACUCCAGCAUGGCCACAGUCCAAUGACUAAAACAAAUGAAAGAUAAUAGACCCCCACCAAACAUGAAUAAGAAAUAGUCACUUUGAAUACAUCACGAUCAUUGUUUUAACAUCCACUUUCCCAAACGUGCAUGUUUCAAAUGAGUGUCUGUCUGGCUGUAGAAAAUUCUGUCUCGGGGGAACCUUGUCUGACACAAACAAACAUGGAAUAGUAGAUGUUACAACAACUAGUAUGGUGAUGAUGAUAUUCAAAUUUCAAAAAGACCAUGCAAGCAUGAAAUUAUAAUGUAAAAAAAUUUUUUUUUUUUUAAAGAAAAACAAAAGAACAUGUAAAAUUAUUUUUUUAAAUAUCAGUUACAAAUGAUGAGAAAUUUUAUUAACCAUGUUGAACUCUGCAAGAUUUGAACUAAAAGUAUAAAGCAGAAGAACAAAUACCAACUCAAAUACCCACAAGUCUACCAAAAUUAUUAUUUAAAGGUUUGUACAAAUGUGUUACAUUUGGAAUCAAUGUCUUUGAUACUGUGUCUCAUCUAGUUUCCUUGGGUAUCAAGGACUUUUCAAACUCUGCUUGCUGUUCCUCAUAAAACAGAUUUCUGUAUUAAUGCUGUUAGUUUUCAUGCCAGCUGUUUGUGAUGGACAACCAAUGAAUUUGAUGUGUAGCUGUUUGUCAUCAUCGGCAUUUAACGUCUGCUUUCCAUGCUGGCAUGGGUUGGACAGUUUGACUAAAAACUGGUAAGCUGGAGGGGCUGCACCAGGUUCCAAUCUGAUUUGGCAAGGUUUCUAUGGCUGGAUGCCCUUCCUAACACCAGCCACUCUGAGAGUGUAGUGAGUGUUUUUUACGUGCCACUGGCACCAGCCACAACUAUAGUCUCACUUGGCUUGACAGGUUAACACUAGUACAGUAUAUCUCUAAGGGUCUGGUUACCUGUCACUGCCUUCAUUGGUUAGUUUUCUUUAUGACAUCAGCAUACAAUUUGAAUGAGCCAGUUUUUGAUUAUGAAAAUUUUUCUAAUUUGAAAAACUAGUCUGGGGUUUGAAUUAUGGAAUAUACCUGCUAUAGAAAAUUCUGCUUCUGGGCCGAACAUGCAAGCUAUCUUUAUUUUCUGAUCUUUUUAUUUGAUAUGUCUAUCAGAAGUUUUUUCUUUUUUGAUGAUCCUUGACAAUGAUAUCUGGUCAGUUAUCUUUGAUCUCCCUCUCUAUAUUGGUAUAUCCGAAAAUAUGAUUGCCUUGUUUCUGAGACAUUUUCUAGUGUAAGUCUCUUCAAUCUCUUUCAUAGUGCCAGCUUAACUUCCAGUGUAAGUCCCAACUAUGUCAUGUCUGGGUUCUGUGGAUGUAUUCUUUCUUGGCUAAGGCUGAGCAACCACAGUUAAUGAUGUUAAUUGUUUCUUCCCCAUCUCUACAUAUCCUGUCUAUAUUUACUGUAUUCUGCUUCAUUGUGUGCUUUUGGUAGUUUCUGAUUAGGGGCUUUGAUCCUGUACUACAGUUAGACUCAGCUCUGAUUCCCCAUAUUUUACAACACUGUAAAAUAUUUCUGGACAAGAAUUAAUGGAUGGGAUAUAUCAUGCAUAUAUACAUAAUAAUGACUGAUUGUCUUAUAACAUAUUUAAGUCCAAUCCUGUUAAAAUGUUUGGUCAAAGGUGUCAGUACCUGAGAGAAAAGCUGUGGAGACGAGGAGAAAUGAUGGAAAAUUCAUCUAAUGGAUAUAGUUUUUGUUUUAAAAAUAAUUCCCUCUUUUACCUAUAUCUGCCAAAUUGUUUGGUAUUUACCCAUAACAUCAUGUGUCUUCUCAUUACUUGUGCUACCUUACUCAUGGUUGGUAUUUCCAGGAUCUAUAUUUAGGGAAUACUGUCAAAAACUUCCUAGUUGUCAAUGUAUGCCAUGAUCAGACUUUUUUCCAUCAGCAGUCCUCAAUUAUAGCUUCUACAUUCCCUCUGCUCUUCUUGAAAGAAGAUUUUUUUUUUCCCGUGUGUAAAUUCACCUUCUGUAAUAUUACAGUUAAGGUUGUUUGAAAGCCAGUUAAAGGUCCAUAGUUUUUAAGGUUUAUUUUUUCUUUAAUGUUGGGGGAUUAAAAUGGUUUUCCUCUCAGUCAGUUGUCUCUAACUCCAUCAAUAGCUCAUUAACCAUUCUCUGCUAGCACCUUAAGGGGUCUCUGUUAAAUAUUUUAACCAGAAGUUAGAAAUCUUUAAGUCCUACUACUUUCCAAUUUGUUUGUCUUUUACAAAACCUAGGUUACUACUUCUACUAUGGCCAACCAAAAUUGUUUAUUCAGAUGUUAUGGUUGAUGUAUUAAGCAAUCUUUUUCAUGGCAAUUCCUUUGUUAUUAACCAACCUCCUUCCAUUGUAGUUUGUGCAGCUUUGACUUGUAUUCUUACAAACUUCUUGAUAAAAUCAUUUUGGAAUUGGAGUCAAGGUAUUUGUUUUGCUCAGAAAUAUAUUGUCAUUUUCUGUACCAAUGGAUUCUUUAUUAAUUAAGGCAGCACAUUCCAGAGUGACUUUAGAUCUGUUGUUGCAUUGAGAAGGGUUUGGGGAUCUUUGACACUGACUUGGAGAGGAUGUUCCUAAGUUGGAUUCCAGCUUCAAGAUCAGUUUCCUCCAGUUUUCCCCACUGUAUAUGUUUUGUUUUUCCUCAUAGUCUUCUUGGGACACAGUGAAGGUGGUCCUUUCAAACCCAUCAUCCCCUGACAGUUAAAUGGACCAGACUUGAACCUUUCAUUGAUUUUAUACAAUAUUUUAUUGAUUUAUUGUUGCAGAUGAACUUUUUCAGUGUUUAUUUGUCUGUUCUGGAUCAAGCACCAGUAGAAGAUUCCUUAAAGAUCCUUGUCAGCUAUAACUUUGUCAGAUAUGUCAGCAAUGUUUUAGUCCUUCCUUGCCUAUCAUUUCAAAUGGAUUGAUGUUGGCAUCAACAUUGGCCAAGCCUGUAGUAAUCCCAAAAGAUUGCCCCUUAUCACAGAACAAGAAUGGUUUUAGGAUAGUGAAGGAUAAAAGGAGUUGACUAUGUCAACCUGAUAAGGACUCAACUUUCAGCAAGACAUUAAUGUAGUAGCCCACCUUCUUUAGCCCCAUUAUGUCCAGUGGAGUGAACCCAUGCCAUCUGCUAGGAGGAGCAUCCUGGCACUUGAAACUGGUCUCAGGUUGGAGACUUGUUUCCCAAGUUUUGCCAGUAUAUCUCUUUAUUCCUUUAUAAUCUUGCUGAGAUAGGCUCUGGUGGCAGGUGAAGUUCCCAUCACCUAUUCUGUUAUGAUGGGAUGGAGGAAUAUCCUAGAACAAGUGGUCAUUUUCAGUGAACACUGGACAGAAAGCAACCAAUUCAGUGAGCCCCAAUAUAGAGAUAUCUGUUUGAAGCUGUGUGAAAGAGAGUCUUGGCCAAGAGUGAGGAAGUCUCUUAAGUUGUGUAUAUUGGAGUAGAGGGAUCCCUAAUCUUUGUUAUUUGUGUGGUUUCUGUAGCAAUGUAUAGAUGAAACACAAUGAGCAUGAUGUCCCUAGUGAAAAGGCAGAGGUAGGAGUGGUUGGUCAACUGGGAAAGGAUAGUGGCCUCAUUUGCAUUUGCUAACAGUUGAUUAAGGAAUUUAGUCAAAAAUACUGCAACUAAACCAGCAAGCCCAUCCCUUCUGCAGUUAAGUGGAUUAACCUAGGAUUUCAUGUUUUUCUUACCUCCAAAUUUUGUUAGUGUGUUGUUGUCGACGAAUUCUCUUAGUGUAUGUCAGUUUCUAUUGAACCAUACAUUAAGAGAACAUUCUAGGAAAAUCUUUGUUGACUACAACUCCCUAGGACAUGUUGGUGUAAGAUUUUCUUGACUAUCAUCAUCAUUAUUAUUAAGGUGGUGAGCUGGCAAAAUCAUUACAACACCAGAUAAAAUGCUUAGUUAAUACAGUUCUAUAUUUAAGAGAUGAGGAAUUAUGUACAUUAUUUACAUUCAAUGGUUGUUUGUCCUUAUCUUGUUUGUUGUUAACACAACGUUUCAGCUGAUAUACCCUCCAGCCUUCAUCAGGUGUCUUGGGAAAAUUUCGAACCUAGGUACCUUUCCUAAGGUAUUUUUUUUAUAUUGUUAUUGUUCAGGUCACUGCCUGGAAUCGAACUCGGAAUCUUGGGGUUAGUAGCCCGCACUCUUAACCACUACACCAUAUGCCAAUGGGCAUAUGGCGUAGAACCCAGGUUCGAAAUUUCCCCAAGAGGGUUUAUCAGCCGAAACGUGUUAACAACAAAGAAGGUGAGGACAUAUCUGUUAAAUGUAAAUAAUGUAAAAUGCUCAGUGAUGUUUCUCCCAACUGAUUACAUUUUGAUUUCAAAUCCUUGUCAUGGUCAACUUUGCCUUUCAUUCCACCCUUAGAAAUGCUAGUCUUGUGUCUUAAUCAGAAACCAUUAUUAAUGAAAAAAAUAAAAAGCAGCAAGCUGGUAAAAUCAUAAUGGUGUUGGAAUGAUACGUUUUGUGGUAUUUGUUCUGGUUGUUUACAUUCUGAAUUCAAAUUGUGCCAUGGUCACCUUUUAUCCCUUAGCGGUGAAUAAAAUGUAGUGCUGGGGUUGUUCAAAUCCUCAAACAUCUUCCCCUCAAAAUUGCAGACAUUGUGGUAAUAUUUGAAACCAUUAUUACUAUUGUGAAUAUUGACUGUUACUGCAUGUAGACAUGUUUUUCUAUCUCUGACCUGGAGUUAUUACUAAGCAUUAUCAAAUAAAAAUAGUUUUGAAGUACUUGCUAAAAUGGAUUUGUUAACUGGUGGAUGUCUGGCCACACUUUGGAUGGGAGAAGACAUUAAUAUGGUUUGUCUUUACAGACUUUACAUUUUGCUUUUAUAUUUAGAUAAACAUUAUCACAAAAUAUCUACGAAACAAAAAAACAAUUUGCUCCCCAUAAAAAAAACACAGAAAUAAUACACUCUCAUACAAAGACAGAAAGACAGGACAUAAACAAAUUAUACUACAGAAUGAAUGUUUGGAACAGACAGAAAGAAAUAAUGAACAUUUAAUGGAAAAAGAAAUUAUUUUAAAUGAUAGUUAUAACAACACUUGCACCAAGGCAUAUGUAUUAAUCAAGAAGAAUAAGAGGUGCAUUCAAAACUUUUAUUUAAUCACCUUCAAAAUACUUUCCUUAGUAGUUCACACACUUCUCCUGGCAGUUCUGCCACAGCUGGUAACACCUCUGGAAUGAUAUAGAGCUCUGCCGUUGCUUUUCUCAUAAUUUCCUUACAUGACUCAAAUCGCUUCCCUUUCAGUAUGGUUUUCAUUUUGGGGAAGAGCCACAAGUAUUGUUGUACUUGACCUGGAAAGCUUGGAUUAUGUGGGCAGAAUGAGCGGGUACAUUGUCGUCGUGAAGUUGCCAAUUCUUCGCCACCCACCUGUCAGGCCACGUUCAACACACAGCAUUAUGCAGACGACAUAUAACCUCCUGGUAGUGUUUCUUAUUGAUUGUCUAACCUUAUGAGUCAAAGAAACAGGUCAACAUUAUCUUUACAUUGCUGCAAACCUGUCAUGCAUAUUUUGACCUUGGUGGGGACAGAUGCUUCCAUUGUGAGGACUGGAACUUGGUUUCUGGGUCAUAGCCAUAAACCCAUGUCUCAUCACCAGUGAUGAUGGUUUUCAUGAAGUUGGAUUGCAGUUUGCUGUGUAACAUAUCCUGAGCGAUUUCCAUGUGGAGUUUUUUCUGUUCCACCAGCACCUUGGAGACGAAGGAAUGAAUUUCGCCAGCACUUUCUGCAUGCACGAAUCGUCUGUUAAAAUGAAGUACACUAAUCCUGUGCUUAUUCCCACUUCAUGAGCAAUUUCCUGGAUUGUUACACGACAGUCUCCAAGACUAUUCGCCGAACCUUCUCAAUCGACUCCUUGUUUUGGCUUGUGGAUGGCCUACCAGCGCGUUCAUCGCUCUUCACUGCGGUGAGGCUGUGUUUGAAGUGGUUGCACCAUUCCUUGAACUGAGUUUUGACCAUUGCAUCAUCGCCAAAAACCUGCUGAAUCUUCUGGAUGGUUUGAGUUUGAGUAUCACCAAAGUUUUGGCAAUACUUGAUGCAAUAUCUCUCUUCGGUGUGUUCAGUCAUUAUGUGGAAACAAAAAUCCAGCAAGCACACACUACAGCCUACCGGCACGAAAAAUUUUAUGCAUGCGCAGGAAGAGUGGUGUUACCUUCCACCCAAAGGAUUUUGCCCACGCAGCAUUUGUUUUGGCGGUAAAAAAUACGAUCGGAUACUUUUUGAACGUACCUCAUAGUAGUCCUAGAGAAGCUAGUUUUACCUUUUGUUACACGGAUUUGUUUUAAAUGUGACAAAAUUUCUAGAUAUAAGACUCAACUUGUGCAAAACCAGACGGUGUCUUUGUUCCAGGAUCUAAUCCAAAAGAGAAAGGAAUAGUCAAUCUGUGCAUUAAGAAGGUUGGCGAAGAUUUCCAUCCUCUCUCCAACAGCUGGAAGAAGUUCUCCAUAAUACAUCAGUAGAAAUUCUCUUUAGCAUCAUGAAGCUUAUGGAAUCGUUUGCUGCAUCUACUGGAGUGAAGGCAGCCAAAACACAGGCUGGAAUAGUUAAACACUGCCGCAUACACUUGUGCCCCAGUAUUUGGGACAAAGAAAUACAAAGGUGACAGUUAAAGCCAUUGACAAUGUUGACCCACGACUUACUGUCAUUGUCACUUUUGUGUCACAGUAUGGACAUGUGGUUAGGGUGGGGCCACAAUAGAUUUGCACGUCCUAAUGACUUCUGAAAGCCACAAGGUUGUACUCAGUCGAAGAUACCGCAACGAAUAACUUGAGACUGAUAAUGUAGAGCAUAAGGUCUAGUUGUUGUACAUGUUGCAGUAAAAGCCACUUGAGAGUCCUUUGCCUUAAAGAGCUAGAAAGGCUCGAAAACCCGAACAAUAAAACCCAGCAGGUUUCAGGUUCCUGAACACAUUGGCAUAUUUCUAACCUGUUCUAUCACAAAAAUGUCAACAGGUACCUUUUGGGUGCACUAGAAGUCGUUAAGGAAUAGUGGAAAGGAAGAGUUGUGUGGGUGCUCUAUCUAAGCCCGGCCAGUGGCUUUACAAAUGUGUAUGGAUGUGUAACCCUAAAUGUUUUUCGUGUUCUUUCAUACUUAAAUUAUAUUGUUUUAGUUAUUGUAUUUAUAUGUAUUUUAUAUCUUUCAUGUUUUAUUAAUUUUUAAAAUCCGUUUAUUGUAUAAAGUUCUCACUCUUUUUCCUGCGUUUGUGUAAAUUUGUUAACUAACCCUACUUGUCUUGUAAAUGCCAUGUCCAUUAGCAUGCAUUGCAUUUUAUUGUAUCUCUUUGAGCCCUUGUGGCUAAUAAAGAAAAGAUUGUUAUUAUUAUUCUCA